GGUUGUGUCGUAUAGUGGUUAGUACAACACGUUGUGGUUUCCUUCGCCGGAUCCGUGUAAACCCUGGUUCGAUUCCAGGCACAGCCA